UGUGCUGCACGUGGGGAUUUUGAUGAGCACAUUUGGGCAAACCUGGCGCGCGCACGCAUGAAAUGUGACUUUGAAUGUUGAAGGUGAACGCCUUGCCCGGAUGGAUGACAGGCCUGUAAAAUGUCCUCUCUACAGAUCCACUCAAGGCCUGCCAAGAUGGAUUUGUGAGUGCGGGUGGAUUGCCAGUCUCCAGAGAUGUUCCCUGCAGCAGUUUCUGCCAGGCCAUCACACUACACAGGCAGAUCCAUAACAUAACAUCACAUGGACAUUAACCAGAGAGGGAAUGGACAACAGUCUGUGAAGGAAGAGUAACGGCCUGAU